GUACUUCUGAAGAGUCCCAAACUGGGACGAAACAGCUGUUCAGUAC
rfam:Trichobilharzia regenti genome assembly, scaffold: TRE_scaffold0029319